CCUGGUUGAUUCUGCCAGUAGUCAUAUGCUUGUCUCAAAGAUUAAGCCAUGCAUGUCUAAGUAUAAGCAAUUAUACCGCGAAACUGCGAAUGGCUCAUUAUAUAAGUUAUCGUUUAUUUGAUAGUACCUUACUACUUGGAUAACCGUGGUAAUUCUAGAGCUAAUACAUGCUAAAAAUCCCGACUUCGGAAGGGAUGUAUUUAUUAGAUUAAAAACCAAUGCCCUUCGGGGCUCACUGGUGAUUCAUGAUAACUCCUCGAAUCGCAUGGCCUUGUGCCGGCGAUGGUUCAUUCAAAUUUCUUCCCUAUCAACUUUCGAUGUUUGGGUAUUGGCCAAACAUGGUUGCAACGGGUAACGGAGGGUUAGGGCUCGACCCCGGAGAAGGAGCCUGAGAAACGGCUACUACAUCCAAGGAAGGCAGCAGGCGCGCAAAUUACCCAAUCCCGACACGGGGAGGUAGUGACAAUAAAUACUGAUACAGGGCUCUUUUGGGUCUUGUAAUUGGAAUGAGUACAAUUUAAAUCCCUUAACGAGGAACAAUUGGAGGGCAAGUCUGGUGCCAGCAGCCGCGGUAAUUCCAGCUCCAAUAGCGUAUAUUAAAGUUGUUGUGGUUAAAAAGCUCGUAGUUGAACCUUGGGCCUGGCCGUCCGGUCCGCCUCACCGCGUGUACUGGCUCGGCCGGGCCUUUCCCUCUGUGGAACCCCAUGCCCUUCACUGGGCGUGGCGGGGAAACAGGACUUUUACUGUGAAAAAAUUAGAGUGCUCCAGGCAGGCCUAUGCUCGAAUACAUUAGCAUGGAAUAAUAGAAUAGGACGUGUGGUUCUAUUUUGUUGGUUUCUAGGACCGCCGUAAUGAUUAAUAGGGACAGUCGGGGGCAUCAGUAUUCAAUUGUCAGAGGUGAAAUUCUUGGAUUUAUUGAAGACUAACUACUGCGAAAGCAUUUGCCAAGGAUGUUUUCAUUAAUCAGGAACGAAAGUUAGGGGAUCGAAGACGAUCAGAUACCGUCGUAGUCUUAACCAUAAACUAUGCCGACUAGGGAUCGGACGGUGUUAUUUUUUGACCCGUUCGGCACCUUACGA
rnacentral:rRNA from 1 species